GAUGAACGCUGGCGGCGUGCCUAAUACAUGCAAGUCGAGCGAAUGGAUUAAGAGCUUGCUCUUAUGAAGUUAGCGGCGGACGGGUGAGUAACACGUGGGUAACCUGCCCAUAAGACUGGGAUAACUCCGGGAAACCGGGGCUAAUACCGGAUAACAUUUUGAACCGCAUGGUUCGAAAUUGAAAGGCGGCUUCGGCUGUCACUUAUGGAUGGACCCGCGUCGCAUUAGCUAGUUGGUGAGGUAACGGCUCACCAAGGCAACGAUGCGUAGCCGACCUGAGAAGGUGAUCGGCCACACUGGGACUGAGACACAGCCAAGACUCCUACGGGAGGUAGCAGUAGGGAAUCUUCCGCAAUGGACGAAAGUCUGACGGAGCAACGCCGCGUGAGUGAUGAAGGCUUUCGGGUCGUAAAACUCUGUUGUUAGGGAAGAACAAGUGCUAGUUGAAUAAGCUGGCACCUUGACGGUACCUAACCAGAAAGCCACGGCUAACUACGUGCCAGCCGCCGCAGUAA
rnacentral:rRNA from 1 species